rnacentral:rRNA from 1 species
UAAGACGUAGGGGGCGAGCGUUAUCCGGAUUCACUGGGCGUAAAGGGCGCGCAGGCGGCUACGUAAGUCCGGCGUGAAAUCCCAUGGCUUAACUGUGGAACUGCGUCGGAUACUGCGUUGGCUUGAGGAUGGUAGAGGCCAUUAGAACUAGCGGUGUAGCGGUGAAAUGCGCAGAUAUCGCUAGGAAUGCCGGUGGCGAAGGCGGAUGGCUGGGCCACUCCUGACGCUGAGGCGCGAAAGCUAGGGGAGCGAACCGGAUUAGAUACCCGGGUAGUCCUAGCCGUAAACGGUGGGUGCUAGGUGUGGGGAUCGCAAGAUUUCCGUGCCGCAGCUAACGCAUUAAGCACCCCGCCUGGGGAGUACGGCCGCAAGGCUA